UUGGAGGGCAAGUCUGGUGCCAGCAGCCGCGGUAAUUCCAGCUCCAAUAGCGUAUAUUAAAGUUGUUGCAGUUAAAAAGCUCGUAGUUGAAUUUCGGGACCAUCAUGUCGGUCGUGCCUCGGUACGUACUGGUAUUGUUGGUUUCUCCCUUCUGACGAACCAUGAUGUCAUUUAUUUGGUGUUGUGGGGAAUCAGGACUGUUACUUUGAAAAAAUUAGAGUGUUUAAAGCAGGCUCACGCCUGAAUACAUUAGCAUGGAAUAAUGAAACAGGACGUUUGAUUCUAUUUUGUUGGUUUCUAGGAUCGACGUAAUGAUUAAUAGGGAUAGUUGGGGGCAUUAGUAUUCAAUUGUCAGAGGUGAAAUUCUUGGAUUUAUUGAAGACUAACUACUGCGAAAGCAUUUGCCAAGGAUGUUUUCAUUAAUCAAGAACGAAAGUUAGGGGAUCGAGGACGAUCAGAUACCGUCGUAGUCUUAACCAUAAACUAUGCCGACUAGGGAUCGGAUGAUGUUAAUUUUUUUAAUGACUCAUUCGGCGCCUUACGGGAAAC
rnacentral:rRNA from 1 species